UACGGGGGGAGCAAGCGUUGUUCGGAAUCACUGGGCGUAAAGGGCGCGUAGGCGGCCGAUCAAGUCGGGGGUGAAAUCCCAGGGCUCAACCCUGGAAUUGCCUUCGAUACUGUUUGGCUUGAGUCUGGUAGAGGUUGGUGGAACUGCGAGUGUAGAGGUGAAAUUCGUAGAUAUUCGCAAGAACACCGGUGGCGAAGGCGGCCAACUGGACCAGCACUGACGCUGAGGCGCGAAAGCGUGGGGAGCAAACAGG
rnacentral:rRNA from 1 species